GAUGAACGCUAGCGGCAGGCCUAACACAUGCAAGUCGAGGGGCAGCACAGAAACAGCAAUGUUUUGGUGGCGACCGGCGGACGGGUGCGUAACGCGUACGCAACCUACCUUUAACAGGGGGAUAACGGAGAGAAAUUUCCACUAAUACCCCAUAACAUCGAUCAAGGCAUCUUGAUUGGUUGAAAACUCCGGUGGUUAAAGAUGGGCAUGCGUUGUAUUAGGUAGUUGGUGAGGUAAUGGCUCACCAAGCCUACGAUACAUAGGGGGACUGAGAGGUUAGCCCCCCACACUGGUACUGGGACACGGACCAGACUCCUACGGGAGGCAGCAGUGAGGAAUACUGGUCAAUGGGGGCAACCCUGAACCAGCCAUGCCGCGUGCAGGAAGACGGCUCUAUGAGUUGUAAACUGCUUUUAAACAGGGAUAAAGCACAGUAUGUAUACUGUGUUGAAGGUACUGUAAGAAUAAGGAUCGGCUAACUCCGUGCCAGCCGCCGCCGUAA
rnacentral:rRNA from 1 species